AUCCGAACUAAUUGUCUACAAAUAUAUCUGGGUUCUGGAGUUGCGAGAGGGAGGACAUCAGCUGAGUGCCACGUUACCCUGUAGAGACGGUGAAAGCUGCCUUACCCCCAGUAGCUGACAGACCCCUGCACCAGUUCCAGCCAGGACAGUGGGUGCUGAUUAGAGAUACCAGGAGACGUCACUG